GUAAAGGGCUCGUAGGCGGUUUGUCGCGUCGGGAGUGAAAACACCGGGCUGAACUCGGUGCUUGCGUUCGAUACGGGCAGACUAGAGGUAUGCAGGGGAGAACGGAAUUCCUGGUGUAGCGGUGAAAUGCGCAGAUAUCAGGAGGAACACCGGUGGCGAAGGCGGUUCUCUGGGCAUUACCUGACGCUGAGGAGCGAAAGUGUGGGGAGCGAACAGGA
rnacentral:rRNA from 1 species